rnacentral:rRNA from 1 species
AGUCGAGCGGAUGAAGAGAGCUUGCUCUCUGAUUUAGCGGCGGACGGGUGAGUAAUGCCUAGGAAUCUGCCUGGUAGUGGGGGAUAACGUUCCGAAAGGAACGCUAAUACCGCGUACGUCCUACGGGAGAAAGCAGGGGACCUUCGGGCCUUGCGCUAUCAGAUGAGCCUAGGUCGGAUUAGCUAGUUGGUGAGGUAAUGGCUCACCAAGGCGACGAUCCGUAACUGGUCUGAGAGGAUGAUCAGUCACACUGGAACUGAGACACGGUCCAGACUCCUACGGGAGGCAGCAGUGGGGAAUAUUGGACAAUGGGCGAAAGCCUGAUCCAGCCAUGCCGCGUGUGUGAACAAGGUCUUCGGAUUGUA